rnacentral:rRNA from 1 species
CUGGCUCAGGAUGAACGCUAGCGGCAGGCCUAACACAUGCAAGUCGAGGGGUAACAUAGGAAAGCUUGCUUUUCUGAUGACGACCGGCGCACGGGUGCGUAACGCGUAUACAACCUACCUUUUAGCGGGGAAUAGCCCAGGGAAACUUGGAUUAAUGCCCCAUAGUACAUGGACUUCUCCUGAAGUUCAUAUUAAACAUUUAUGGCUAUUAGAUGGGUAUGCGUCCUAUUAGUUAGUUGGUAUGGUAACGGCUUACCAAGGCAGCGAUAGGUAGGGGUCCUGAGAGGGAGAUCCCCCACACUGGUACUGAGACACGGACCAGACUCCUACGGGAGGCAGCAGUGAGGAAUAUUGGACAAUGGGCGAGAGCCUGAUCCAGCCAUGCCGCGUGCAGGAAGACUGCCCUAUGGGUUGUAAACUGCUUUUACAGAGGAAGAAUCGCCACUACGUGUAGUGGUUUGACGGUACUCUGCGAAUAAGGAUCGGCUAACUCCGUGCCAGCAGCCGCGGUAAUACGGAGGAUCCAAGCGUUAUCCGGAAUCAUUGGGUUUAAAGGGUCCGUA